AAAGUAACCACGAUAGUUUGAGGAUGGAGCACUUCUUAUGUUAGAAUUCUAUAAAAUCAACCACUAAGACUGGUUGCUUCAGACUUGUAAUGUUUUGUAACCCCUACUGUUACUUCAAGAGAAGAAUUUCACCUCUGACCUAUGAAAUGGGGAAAGCAUCAGAGGAUAGGUAGAAAAUGAGAAAGAAACAUGAUAGAAGAACAAUUUUAACCUCCUAAUUCCUUUAUUCUAAAUGACUGUCUUUGAAGCAGAAAAUGGCAAUCCCUAUUCUUCAGAGUAUGAACAUGAAAUGGAAGAUAAAGUUAAGAGUAAGCAUCCAGGGAAAUGUAGCAGUCCCAAGGGACAGCCUUCACUCUUACAGAUCAUAAAACAACAACUGUCUUCAAAGACUGCAUCUUCUCUUGUGAUUUAUGCCUCCGGGGAUUAAAACUGCAUGGAGAUUACAUUCCCCAGCCAGGACAUAGCUGGGAAAAGCUGGUUCAGUGCUUCAUACUGUGGCAGUGUUAGGAGGCUGAGGAGACCUGUGGGAAGACAUGGAAGUAACACAUCUGCACUCUGAGGAUGAGUGACUGCCAGCUGUGUUUUACGUU
rnacentral:lncRNA from 1 species